ACGGGAGGCAGCAGUGAGGAAUAUUGGACAAUGGGCGGAAGCCUGAUCCAGCCAUGCCGCGUGCAGGAAUAAGGCCCUAUGGAUCGUAAACUGCUUUUGUUGUGGAGCAAUAAGUCUCACGUGUGGGACGAUGAGAGUACACAGCGAAUAAGCAUCGGCUAACUCCGUGCCAGCAGCCGCGGUAAUACGGAGGAUCCGAGCGUUAUCCGGAUUUAUUGGGUUUAAAGGGUGCGCAGGCGGCUUUUUAAGUCAGUGGUUAAAUCGUGACGCUCAACGUCAUCACGCCAUUGAUACUGGAGAGCUUGAUUGCGGUCGAGGUUUGCGGAAUUCGUUGUGUAGCGGUGAAAUGCAUAGAUAUGACGAAGAACACCGAUUGCGUAGGCAGCAGACCAGGCCGUAAAUGACGCUCAUGCACGAAAGUGCGGGGAUCGAACAGGAUUAGAUACCCUGGUA
rnacentral:rRNA from 1 species